AGAGGUGCCCUUGAGGUGCACCCAGGGCUGCAAGUGGCAGCAGUGAUCUGCACUCAAAGUGGGUUUAAAAAGAAAAAAAGGCCUAGGGUUGUCUUUCUGGAAAGAACCUCUGAUAACUACUUCAGUACAGGUUUCACUUGCAGAGGAAGGGCACUCCCUUUAACAUAAGAGGAGACAGAGGCCAGAGCAUCCCACUUAAACAUCCUCCCAGAUCUUGCCUUUAUCCUUACUACUUGCUGCCAGUUCACGUAGUUUAGAGGAAGACAGACCUUUUCAAAAGGACCAGGUGCUAAAAGUCAAAAUCUACCUUACAAAAAGGUAUGAAAGGUCCCAGUUGUUACAUACAAUUCGUUUUCUAGAAAAUGCUAUUAAACAGGCAGGGGAGGAAGAUGUGACGCUUCUGUCACACACCAGAAGAAAGCAGGUUAGUUCUUCAGGCAAAGCAUGCAUUUUCAUGUAUCUUUAGGCAAGU